rnacentral:rRNA from 1 species
UACGGAGGAUCCGAGCGUUAUCCGGAUUUAUUGGGUUUAAGGGUGCGCAGGCGGAAUAUUAAGUCGGCGGUGAAAGUUUGCAGCUUAACUGUAAAAUUGCCGUUGAUACUGGUAUUCUUGAGUGUAUAUGAAGUAGGCGGAAUUUGUAGUGUAGCGGUGAAAUGCAUAGAUAUUACAAGGAACUCCGAUUGCGAAGGCAGCUUACUAAAUUACAACUGACGCUUAGGCACGAAGGCGUGGGUAUCAAACAGGAUUAGAUACCCCUGUAGUCCCU